UUUACGGAGAGUUUGAUCCUGGCUCAGGAUGAACGCUGGCGGCGCGCCUAAUACAUGCAAGUCGAGCGACGAAACCGAAGUGGGUAACCACUUCGGCUGAAAGCGGCGAACGGGUGAGUAACACGUGGGUAACGUGCCCCGAACUCCGGGAUAACAACGGGAAACCGUUGCUAAUACCGGAUGACCCCUGCAGAGCGCAUGCUCAACAGGGCAAAGUUUUUCGGUUCGGGAUCGGCCCGCGGCCUAUCAGCUUGUUGGUGGGGUAAUGGCCUACCAAGGCGGUGACGGGUAGCUGGCGUGAGAGCGUGGCCAGCCACACUGGGACUGAGACACGGCCCAGACUCCUACGGGAGGCAGCAGUAGGGAAUCUUGCGCAAUGGGCGAAAGCCUGACGCAGCGACGCCGCGUGAGGGAUGACGGCUUUCGGGUUGUAAACCUCUUUCAGCAGGGACGAAGCCUCACGGUGACGGUACCUGCAGAAGAAGCCCCGGCUAACUACGUGCCAGCAGCCGCGGUAAUACGUAGGGGGCAAGCGUUAUCCGGAUUUAUUGGGCGUAAAGCGCGCGUAGGCGGCCGACCACGUCGGAUGUGAAAGCUCAGGGCUCAACCCUGAGAGGCCAUUCGAUACGGGUCGGCUAGAGGCAGGUAGGGGAGAAUGGAAUUCCUGGUGUAGCGGUGAAAUGCGCAGAUAUCACGAGGAACACCGGAGGCGAAGGCGGUUCUCUGGGCCUGUUCUGACGCUGAGGUGCGAAAGCUGGGGGAGCAAACAGGAUUAGAACGUAUCUGGUCCUCUCCGGGAGUAAUCCCGGUGACUAAACUGGCUGUAUCGGCGAACGUCC
rnacentral:rRNA from 1 species